AAAGCGUCGUGAGUAUAUGACGUCGUUCUCAGUCGGCCGACGGAUGAGGUUGGGUGAUAUGGCUUGUGUGUUAGUAGGAAUGUUGGUGUCAAGAAAAUCUGGAGUUAAAAAGUGGUAUAUAUACACUUUGAUUCCACCGUAACGUUCGUGACUUUUCAACGGCCCGUAGCCGUAGAUGAAUUCUGAGGCGGUAAUGGCCACUUUCAGGGAUUUUACUACGUGCCUGGUGGAAUGCCUGUGACAGAUGAAGUGUCUCCUACAGCCACAUGGUCAAAGCCAGGAGAAACACCCCAGAGCAGCCUUGCCCCUAAACUGUUGGUGGACUAUCAGCGCACCACUGCUUAGCAGACCAUACAGACAUGUUGUAAGGAACUUCGAGACGCAUCGCCCUGAAAUCGAAGCGCUGGUGCCAAGUGAUGGCAAAGAGAUGGAUGAGUUGAUAACGGGUGGUGAUGUCUAAAUGAAGCUUUCUGAAGCUGAGGCUUCCUUUGCAAAUGUCGGAAAAGGGUUAAUUGCUCGGAGUAUCGCCGCACGGUGCACAGUAGCAGCACCUGGUGGUGAAAGGGAAGCAUCUGUUAACUUGCGUGUGCUGUGUUUAAUAUCAAUUCAUUCAGCUUGUCUUACAGAACAAUUUCUUAUGAAUAAAGGCCAUUAGAAACACUAAA